UAAUAGAGCUGCUAAGGUCUUUCUGAUGUUGAUUUGUCUCGGCUGGAUACAGUGGGCAAGUUGCAUUGGGGGGCUGGACCUCUCUAUAGACAUGAGAUGUUGUAGGGUAAAGGUGGGGUUGGGCAUAAUAACUGUUAGGUGAGGACCCAAUGACGACUUUAUUUCUAUGGUUAUACGGUGGGUCUGACUUAACUAAGAAAU
rnacentral:lncRNA from 1 species